rnacentral:rRNA from 1 species
CCGGUGCGCUCCGCUAUCCACGCUAUCGCUGGUACGAUCGCUUUAUGAUUCGUCUUAUUAUGAAGAUGACCGGCGGUGAGACCGAUGUCAGUAAAGAAGUGGUCUAUACCGACUGGCAGCAGGUAGGCAGAUUUGCGCGGGAAAUUGCGCAAAUGACCAGCAAAUAGCGCGUUAAAUCACCCCGGUGAUGGAAAGUUGAGCGAAUGAAAAGUUUUUUGAAAUUUCCCCUUGUCACUUCGUAAUUACUCCCUAUAAUGCGCUCCCACUGACACGGAAUAACGGCUUACAGCCCGCCGGGUCAGCGGGAUUCAGCGAUGAAUGCCGGCAGAGAAAAGCAAAAUUAAACGCUUGACUCUGAAUGAGGAAAACGUAUUAUACGGGACCUCGCAACGGUGAGCGAAAGCCGCGUUGCACUGCUCUUUAACAAUUUAUCAGACAAUCUGUGUGGGCACUCAAAGUGACAUGGAUUCUUAACGUCU